UACAGAGGUCUCAACCGUUGUUCGGAUUCAUUGGGCGUAAAGGGUGCGUAGGCGGCGGGGCAAGUCAGGUGUGAAAUCUCGGGGCUCAACCCCGAAACUGCACUUGAUACUGCCUCGCUUGAGUACUGGAGAGGAGACUGGAAUUUACGGUGUAGCAGUGAAAUGCGUAGAUAUCGUAAGGAAGACCAGUGGCGAAGGCGGGUCUCUGGACAGUUCCUGACGCUGAGGCACGAAGGUCAGGGGAGCAAACGGG
rnacentral:rRNA from 1 species